rnacentral:rRNA from 1 species
UACGUAGGGUGCAAGCGUUAAUCGGAAUUACUGGGCGUAAAGCGUGCGCAGGCGGUCCGCUAAGACAGAUGUGAAAUCCCCGGGCUUAACCUGGGAACUGCAUUUGUGACUGGCGGGCUCGAGUAUGGCAGAGGGGGGUAGAAUUCCACGUGUAGCAGUGAAAUGCGUAGAGAUGUGGAGGAAUACCGAUGGCGAAGGCAGCCCCCUGGGCCAAUACUGACGCUCAUGCACGAAAGCGUGGGGAGCAAACAGG